GUACUUGUACUGAUUGAGAUUUUAACACGAAGUGAGUGGCGAACGGGUGAGUAACACGUGGGUAACCUGCCCAGAAGUAGGGGAUAACACCUGGAAACAGAUGCUAAUACCGUAUAACAGAGAAAACCGCAUGGUUUUCUUUUAAAAGAUGGCUCUGCUAUCACUUCUGGAUGGACCCGCGGCGUAUUAGCUAGUUGGUGAGGUAAAGGCUCACCAAGGCAGUGAUACGUAGCCGACCUGAGAGGGUAAUCGGCCACAUUGGGACUGAGACACGGCCCAGACUCCUACGGGAGGCAGCAGUAGGGAAUCUUCCACAAUGGACGCAAGUCUGAUGGAGCAACGCCGCGUGAGUGAAGAAGGGUUUCGGCUCGUAAAGCUCUGUUGUUAAAGAAGAACGUGGGUAAGAGUAACUGUUUACCCAGUGACGGUAUUUAACCAGAAAGCCACGGCUAACUACGUGCCAGCAGCCGCGGUAAUACGUAGGUGGCAAGCGUUAUCCGGAUUUAUUGGGCGUAAAGCGAGCGCAGGCGGUCUUUUAAGUCUAAUGUGAAAGCCUUCGGCUCAACCGAAGAAGUGCAUUGGAAACUGGGAGACUUGAUUGCAAAAGAGGACAGUGGAACUCCAUGGGUGUAGCGGUGAAAUGCGUAGAUAUAUGGAAGAACACCAGUGGCGAAGGCGGCUGUUUCUGGUGCUGCAACUGACGCUGAGGCUCGAAAGCAUGGGUUAAGCGAACAGGAUAAGAUACCCUGGUAGUCCAUGCCGGUAAACGCAAUGAUUACUGAGAAAGUGUUGGAGGGUUUCCGCCCCUUCAGUGCUGCAGCCUAACGCAUUAAGUAAUC
rnacentral:rRNA from 1 species